AGCAAUAGAUCUCCGCAGAAUGCUCUCCCUGCUGUAAACCACGUAACUUGGUCUCGGCCAGGGAGAUAUGAUCCGGGUCAUCGUAAAUAAGACCUAGAGCUGUGAAAAAUUAACCUACUGACCGAAGGGACUGUGCGGGAGCAUCAGCCGCCCCCGAGUCCAGGGAGAGAGCUGUGAUGUCACCUCCAGAGUCCUGAUCUAGAGCACAGAGUGGGAGACGAGCUGCGGCAGGACACACGUUACUACAAGAACUGGGCGCGGGCAUGGCGCCACUCACGUGACUACUGUGUGCAUGGGGCCAGUCAUGCUCCCCACCCACAGGACUAUUGGCAUCGGGAGCCUCCAAACUUCUCUGUGGCACAGACAGCGGCGCGACUUUUCCUGUACUCUUCGACGGUUGUGACUGAGGAGACUUAUCCGUCGAGCUGGGCAGUGGAGCCCUGGAGCCGCCAUGGGGAAAGUGUUUACGAGUUGCCUGCUGACUUCGGCUGGACUUCUGCCCGCUGUGGUGUUGGGACCGUACUCCGCAUUGGGAUACCCAAGUGUUGGAUCAACCAAAUGGAACCGUCAUCCUUCUAACCAUCGGCUGGGAUAUAAGACUCACCUGUGUAACCUGAGUAUCCUCUUCAAACUCUCGCCUUUGAUUUGACUUUCACAGACCACUACGUUCUGUUUCUUCCCAUCUGUCUGCUAUCAUGUUAACAAGCAAAAGAGAAUCUCAGCAGUUCAUUGACAACAUAAUAAAAUGGGAUUUGAAUUUCACUCUUCAAAGAAUAGUUUCCUAUCAAACCCAGUCUCCGGUAUCUCUGCAAGCCUCACUAGUCAGGCCAUUAGGAAGGGCUGGUUCUUUAAUAUGCAAGCUAAAGCCUAUACAUUGAGUUCAGCUUGGUGGCGCCUUUUCCUAAAUUUGUAAAAUAACUUACACCUACGAAAUUCAGCAUUAACAGAAAAUAAUUGGUAUGCCUCUAACAGGUAGACAAGCAUUUCUAUACUCAUUUUUAUUGUAUUUGUAUUUUGCAACCAAGUUCUGAUAUUAUCAUUAAAGGGGUUAGCCCAUGAAAAGUAGUACUCUGCAGUGAAUGUAUCAAAUAUUAUUGCAAUAUACCAGUGUUUUUAAUGAUUCUUUUUGUGUACAUUAAAGUUUCCUUUCUGGUAGUGCC